UGGGGAAUUUUGGACAAUGGGCGAAAGCCUGAUCCAGCAAUGCCGCGUGUGUGAAGAAGGCCUUCGGGUUGUAAAGCACUUUUGUCCGGAAAGAAAUCCUCUGGGUUAAUACCUCGGGGGGAUGACGGUACCGGAAGAAUAAGCACCGGCUAACUACGUGCCAGCAGCCGCGGUAAUACGUAGGGUGCAAGCGUUAAUCGGAAUUACUGGGCGUAAAGCGUGCGCAGGCGGUUUUGUAAGACGGAUGUGAAAUCCCCGGGCUUAACCUGGGAACUGCAUUCGUGACUGCAAGGCUAGAGUAUGGCAGAGGGGGGUAGAAUUCCACGUGUAGCAGUGAAAUGCGUAGAGAUGUGGAGGAAUACCGAUGGCGAAGGCAGCCCCCUGGGCCAAAUACUGACGCUCAUGCACGAAAAGCGUGGGGAGCAAAACAGGAUUAGAUACCCUGGUAGUCCACGCCCUAAAACGAUGUCAACUAGUUGUUGGGGAUUCAUUUCCUUAGUAACGUAGCUAACGCGUGAAGUUGACCGCCUGGGGAGUACGGUCGCAAGAUUAAAACUCAAAUGAAUUGACGGGGUCAUAGCUGUUUCCU
rnacentral:rRNA from 1 species